rnacentral:rRNA from 1 species
AGCAGCAGCCGCGGUAAUACGAAGGGGGCUAGCGUUGUUCGGAUUUACUGGGCGUAAAGCGCACGUAGGCGGACUUUUAAGUCAGGGGUGAAAUCCCGGGGCUCAACCCCGGAACUGCCUUUGAUACUGGAAGUCUUGAGUAUGGUAGAGGUGAGUGGAAUUCCGAGUGUAGAGGUGAAAUUCGUAGAUAUUCGGAGGAACACCAGUGGCGAAGGCGGCUCACUGGACCAUUACUGACGCUGAGGUGCGAAAGCGUGGGGAGCAAACAGGAUUAGAUACCCCCGUAGUCCCUGUCUCUUAUAC